rnacentral:rRNA from 1 species
AGUGAACGCUGGCGGUAGGCCUAACACAUGCAAGUCGAACGGCCGCACAGUAAGAGCUUGCUCUUACGGGUGGCGAGUGGCGGACGGGUGAGGAAUACAUCGGAAUCUACUUUUUCGUGGGGGAUAACGUAGGGAAACUUACGCUAAUACCGCAUACGACCUACGGGUGAAAGCAGGGGAUCUUCGGACCUUGCGCGUUUGAAUGAGCCGAUGUCGGAUUAGCUAGUUGGCGGGGUAAAGGCCCACCAAGGCGACGAUCCGUAGCUGGUCUGAGAGGAUGAUCAGCCACACUGGAACUGAGACACGGUCCAGACUCCUACGGGAGGCAGCAGUGGGGAAUAUUGGACAAUGGGCGCAAGCCUGAUCCAGCCAUGCCGCGUGAGUGAAGAAGGCCUUCGGGUCGUAAAACCCUGUUGUUAGGAAAGAAAAACAGCAGGUUAAAACCCCGCCGUUCUGACGGUACCCAAAGAAUAAGCACCGGCUAACUUCGUG